rnacentral:rRNA from 1 species
GACGAACGCUGGCGGCGUGCUUAACACAUGCAAGUCGAGCGGUAAGGCCCUUCGGGGUACACGAGCGGCGAACGGGUGAGUAACACGUGAGUAAUCUGCCCAUCACUUCGGGAUAACUCCGGGAAACCGGUGCUAAUACCGAAUAUGACCACUUCAGGCAUCUGAUGGUGGUGGAAAGUUCCGGCGGUGAUGGAUGAGCUCGCGGCCUAUCAGCUUGUUGGUGGGGUAGUGGCCUACCAAGGCUUCGACGGGUAGCCGGCCUGAGAGGGUGACCGGCCACACUGGGACUGAGACACGGCCCAGACUCCUACGAGAGGCAGCAGUGGGGAAUAUUGGACAAUGGGCGAAAGCCUGAUCCAGCAACGCCGCGUGAGGGAUGACGGCCUUCGGGUUGUAAACCUCUUUCAGCAGGGACGAAGCGCAAGUGACGGUACCUGCAGAAGAAGCACCGGCCAACUACGUG